rnacentral:snRNA from 1 species
UUACUUAUUUGGCAGGGGAGAUACCAUGCUCAGGAGUGUGGAUUUCCCAGCAUGAGGUUUAUCCAUUGCACUCCAGAUGUGCUGACCCCUGCGAUUUCCACAAAUGUGGGAAACUCAACUGCAUAAUUUGAGGUAGUGGAGGACUGUCUUCAUGCUCUCCCCUG